rnacentral:rRNA from 1 species
CCCUUAGAUGUUCUGGGCCGCACGCGCGCUACACUGAUGCAUUCAACGAGCCUAUCCUUGACCGACAGGUCCGGGUAAUCUUUGAAUCUGCAUCGUGACGGGGAUAGAUUAUUGCAAUUAUUAAUCUUCAACGAGGAAUGCCUAGUAGGCGCAAGUCAUCAGAUUGCGUCGAUUACGUCCCUGCCCUUUGUACACACCGCCCGUCGCUCCUACCGAUUGGGUGUGCUGGUGAAAUGUUCGGAUCGGCCGUUUGUCGCGGUUUCCGCGGCUCGUGGCUGAGAAGUUCAUUAAACCCUCCCACCUAGAGGAAGGAGAAGUCGUAACA